rnacentral:rRNA from 1 species
AGGAUAAACGCUGGCGGCGUGCCUAACACAUGCAAGUCGAACGUCCUACGCAAGUAGGGAGUGGCGAACGGGUGAGUAACACGUGGGCAACCUGCCCCUCACACUGGGAUAACCUCGGGAAACCGGGGCUAAUACCGGAUACGACCUCGAGCGGCAUCUCUUGAGGUGGAAAGCUCCGACGGUGAGGGAUGGGCCCGCGGCCUAUCAGCUUGUUGGUGGGGUAAUGGCCUACCAAGGCGACGACGGGU